GUUGUAUAGUCAAGUAAUUAAGUGCAUGUGGUGGAUGCCUUGGCAGUCAGAGGCGAUGAAAGACGUGAUAGCCUGCGAAAAGCUCCGGGGAGGCGGCAAAUAUCCUUUGAUCCGGAGAUGUCUGAAUGGGGGAACCCACCUACUUUAAGGUAGGUAUUGCAACAUGAAUACAUAGUGUUGCAAGGCGAACGAGGGGAAGUGAAACAUCUCAGUACCCUUAGGAAAAGAAAUCAAUUGAGAUUCCCUCAGUAGCGGCGAGCGAACGGGGAUCAGCCCAUUAAGUUAUGUGUGUUUUAGUGGAACGCUCUGGGAAGUGCGAACGUAGAGGGUGAUAUUCCCGUACACGAAAGGGCACACAUAAUGAUGACGAGUAGGGCGAGGCACGUGAAACCUUGUCUGAAUAUGGGGGGACCAUCCUCCAAGGCUAAAUACUCCUGACUGACCGAUAGUGAACCAGUACCGUGAGGGAAAGGCGAAAAGAACCCCUGUGAGGGGAGUGAAAUAGAUCCUGAAACCGCAUGCAUACAAGCAGUGGGAGCACCUUCGUGGUGUGACUGCGUACCUUUUGUAUAAUGGGUCAGCGACUUAUAUUCAGUAGCGAGGUUAACCGUAUAGGGGAGCCGUAGAGAAAUCGAGUCUUAAUAGGGCGUUUAGUUGCUGGGUAUAGACCCGAAACCAGGCGAUCUAUCCAUGAGCAGGUUGAAGGUUGGGUAACACUAACUGGAGGACCGAACCCACUGUCGUUGAAAAGCCAGGGGAUGACUUGUGGAUAGGGGUGAAAGGCUAAUCAAGCCUGGUGAUAGCUGGUUCUCCCCGAAAGCUAUUUAGGUAGCGCCUCGGACGAAUACCAUAGGGGGUAGAGCACUGUUUCGGCUAGGGGGUCAUCCCGACUUACCAAACCGAUGCAAACUCCGAAUACCUAUGAGUACUAUCCGGGAGACAGACUGCGGGUGCUAACGUCCGUAGUCAAGAGGAAAACAAUCCAGACCGCCAGCUAAGGCCCCAAAAUCAUAGUUAAGUGGGAAACGAUGUGGGAAGGCAUAGACAGCUAGGAGGUUGGCUUAGAAGCAGCCACCCUUUAAAGAAAGCGUAAUAGCUCACUAGUCGAGUCGGCCUGCGCGGAAGAUGUAACGGGGCUAAAACUAUGUGCCGAAGCUGCGGAUNNNNNNNNNNNNNNNNNNNNNNNNNNNNNNNNNNAUGCUGGAGGUAUCAGAAGUGCGAAUGCUGACGUGAGUAACGACAAAACGGGUGAAAAACCCGUUCGCCGAAAGACCAAGGGUUCCAGUCCAACGUUAAUCGGGGCUGGGUGAGUCGACCCCUAAGGCGAGGCCGAAAGGCGUAGUCGAUGGGAAAAUGGUUAAUAUUCCAUUACUUCUGUGUAAUGCGAUGAGAGGACGGAGAAGGCUAAAUCAGCCUGGCGUUGGUUGUCCAGGUGAAAGGAUGUAGGCAUGUAUCUUAGGCAAAUCCGGGGUACUCUAUGCUGAGAUCUGAUAGCAAGCUGUACUUGUACAGCGAAGUGGUUGAUGCCAUGCUUCCAGGAAAAGUCUCUAAGCUUCAGUUACACAGGAAUCGUACCCGAAACCGACACAGGUGGUCAGGUCGAGUAGACCAAGGCGCUUGAGAGAACUCUGCUGAAGGAACUAGGCAAAAUGGUACCGUAACUUCGGGAGAAGGUACGCUGUUGUUGGUGAUGGAACUCGCUUCCUGAGCUGACGACAGCCGCAGAAACCAGGCCGCUGCAACUGUUUAUUAAAAACAUAGCACUCUGCAAACACGAAAGUGGACGUAUAGGGUGUGAUGCCUGCCCGGUGCUGGAAGGUUAAUUGAUGGGGUUAGCGUAAGCGAAGCUCUUGAUCGAAGCCCCAGUAAACGGCGGCCGUAACUAUAACGGUCCUAAGGUAGCGAAAUUCCUUGUCGGGUAAGUUCCGACCUGCACGAAUGGCAUAAUGAUGGCGGCGCUGUCUCCAGCAGAGGCUCAGUGAAAUCGAAAUCGCUGUGAAGAUGCAGUGUACCCGCGGCUAGACGGAAAGACCCCGUGAACCUUUACUGCAGCUUGACACUGAACUUUGACCUUACUUGUGUAGGAUAGGUGGGAGGCUUUGAAGCUGGAACGCUAGUUCCAGUGGAGCCGUCCUUGAAAUACCACCCUGGUAAUGUUGAGGUUCUAACUCUGUCCCGUGAUCCGGGACGAGGACCGUGUCUGGUGGGUAGUUUGACUGGGGCGGUCUCCUCCUAAAGAGUAACGGAGGAGUACGAAGGUGCGCUCAGCGUGGUCGGAAAUCACGCGUAGAGUAUAAAGGCAAAAGCGCGCUUAACUGCGAGACCCACAAGUCGAGCAGGUACGAAAGUAGGUCUUAGUGAUCCGGUGGUUCUGUAUGGAAGGGCCAUCGCUCAACGGAUAAAAGGUACUCUGGGGAUAACAGGCUGAUACCGCCCAAGAGUUCAUAUCGACGGCGGUGUUUGGCACCUCGAUGUCGGCUCAUCUCAUCCUGGGGCUGAAGCAGGUCCCAAGGGUAUGGCUGUUCGCCAUUUAAAGAGGUACGCGAGCUGGGUUUAGAACGUCGUGAGACAGUUCGGUCCCUAUCUACCGUGGGCGCUGGAAAUUUGAGAGGAUCUGCUCCUAGUACGAGAGGACCAGAGUGGACGAACCUCUGGUGUACCGGUUGUGACGCCAGUCGCAUCGCCGGGUAGCUAUGUUCGGAAGGGAUAACCGCUGAAAGCAUCUAAGCGGGAAGCCUACCUCAAGAUAAGAUUUCCCUAGGACUUUAUGUCCUCUAAAGAGCCGUUCGAGACUAGGACGUUGAUAGGUUGGAUGUGGAAGCAUAGUGAUAUGUGAAGCUGACCAAUACUAAUUGCUCGUGAGGCUUGACUAUACAACACCCAAGCAGUUG
rnacentral:rRNA from 1 species